UGCUUGCAUCAUGAUUUACAUUUGAGUGAGUGGCGAACUGGUGAGUAACACGUGGGAAACCUGCCCAGAAGCGGGGGAUAACACCUGGAAACAGAUGCUAAUACCGCAUAACAACUUGGACCGCAUGGUCCGAGUUUGAAAGAUGGCUUCGGCUAUCACUUUUGGAUGGUCCCGCGGCGUAUUAGCUAGAUGGUGGGGUAACGGCUCACCAUGGCAAUGAUACGUAGCCGACCUGAGAGGGUAAUCGGCCACAUUGGGACUGAGACACGGCCCAAACUCCUACGGGAGGCAGCAGUAGGGAAUCUUCCACAAUGGACGAAAGUCUGAUGGAGCAACGCCGCGUGAGUGAAGAAGGGUUUCGGCUCGUAAAACUCUGUUGUUAAAGAAGAACAUAUCUGAGAGUAACUGUUCAGGUAUUGACGGUAUUUAACCAGAAAGCCACGGCUAACUACGUGCCAGCAGCCGCGGUAAUACGUAGGUGGCAAGCGUUGUCCGGAUUUAUUGGGCGUAAAGCGAGCGCAGGCGGUUUUUUAAGUCUGAUGUGAAAGCCUUCGGCUCAACCGAAGAAGUGCAUCGGAAACUGGGAAACUUGAGUGCAGAAGAGGACAGUGGAACUCCAUGUGUAGCGGUGAAAUGCGUAGAUAUAUGGAAGAACACCAGUGGCGAAGGCGGCUGUCUGGUCUGUAACUGACGCUGAGGCUCGAAAGUAUGGGUAGCAAACAGGAUUAGAUACCCUGGUAGUCCAUACCGUAAACGAUGAAUGCUAAGUGUUGGAGGGUUUCCGCCCUUCAGUGCUGCAGCUAACGCAUUAAGCAUUCCGCCUGGGGAGUACGGCCGCAAGGCUGAAACUCAAAGGAAUUGACGGGGGCCCGCACAAGCGGUGGAGCAUGUGGUUUAAUUCGAAGCUACGCGAAGAACCUUACCAGGUCUUGACAUACUAUGCAAAUCUAAGAGAUUAGACGUUCCCUUCGGGGACAUGGAUACAGGUGGUGCAUGGUUGUCGUCAGCUCGUGUCGUGAGAUGUUGGGUUAAGUCCCGCAACGAGCGCAACCCUUAUUAUCAGUUGCCAGCAUUAAGUUGGGCACUCUGGUGAGACUGCCGGUGACAAACCGGAGGAAGGUGGGGAUGACGUCAAAUCAUCAUGCCCCUUAUGACCUGGGCUACACACGUGCUACAAUGGAUGGUACAACGAGUUGCGAACUCGCGAGAGUAAGCUAAUCUCUUAAAGCCAUUCUCAGUUCGGAUUGUAGGCUGCAACUCGCCUACAUGAAGU
rnacentral:rRNA from 2 species